AAGUUACGAUAGCGUUAGAACAUUAGAAUCUUCAUUUGCCUUUAAUUAAUUAAAAUAGCCAAAAACGGCCUUGUGAUUAAUGUGAUAAAUGUGAGAUCAACCAAAAAUGUUUAUAUACAUUGUUUCUUUCUUUGUGAUAUUAUUUAUAUAUGAAAUGAAGUAGAAAAUGAACCCAUAAGAAACAAUAGGCUCAAAAGAAAACAACCUGGCAAUGCUGUCUAUUCUGUAUUUUCUCAGAGACUCCCGAGACAUUUUAUAAUAAAUAAGCAAUAAUAAUGAAACAUUUAUCAAAAUGGUCUUCUGUUACUUGUAAAAUCUCAAAUUGGUUUUAUCAAGAUACUACAAUUGGAUUUAUUAAAUAGUAUUUUGUAAGAAAAUGAUAGCAAUAGUCCACAUUAAUAAAAUUCAUAUAUUUAUCAGUCCCCAAAAAAA
rnacentral:lncRNA from 1 species